rnacentral:tRNA from 1 species
UCGAAAUAGCUCAGUUGGGAGAGCAUUAGACUAUAGAUCGAAAAGUCCCUGGUUCAAUCCCGGCCGAA